UACGGAGGGGGCUAGCGUUGUUCGGAAUUACUGGGCGUAAAGCGCACGUAGGCGGCUUUGUAAGUUAGAGGUGAAAGCCCGGGGCUCAACUCCGGAAUUGCCUUUAAGACUGCAUCGCUAGAAUUGUGGAGAGGUAAGUGGAAUUCCGAGUGUAGAGGUGAAAUUCGUAGAUAUUCGGAAGAACACCAGUGGCGAAGGCGGCUCACUGGCCCGAUACUGACGCUGAGGCACGAAAGCGUGGGGAGCAAACAGG
rnacentral:rRNA from 1 species